GAUGAACGCUGGCGGCGUGCCUAAUACAUGCAAGUCGAGCGAACGGAUGAGAGGCUUGCUUCUCUGAUGUUAUCGGCGGACGGGUGAGUAACACGUGGAUAACCUACCUAUAAGACUGGGAUAACUUCGGGAAACCGGAGCUAAUACCGGAUUAUAUUUUGAACCGCAUGGUUCAAAAGUGAAAUACGGUCUUGCUGUCACUUAUAGAUGGAUCCGCGCUGCAUUAGCUAGUUGGUAAGGUAACGGCUUACCAAGGGAACAAUGCAUAGCCGACCUGAGAGGUAGAUCGGCGACCCUGGAAAUGAGUAACGGUCCAGACUCCUACGGGAGGCAGCAGUAGGGAAUCUUCCGCAAUGGGCGAAAGCCUGACAGAGCAACACCGCGUGAGUGAUGAAGGACUUCGGAUCGUAAAACUCUGUUAUUAGGGAAGAACAAAUGUGUAAGUAACUGUGCACAUAUUGACGGUACCUAAUCAGAAAGCCACGGCUAACUAAGUG
rnacentral:rRNA from 1 species